GUCCGUGCUGAAAGUGUGGACAUCACCCAUAGUAUUGCGGUAUUUUUCAGUCGGUGAUUAUAGCCACUCAUCGUGUACAGGUUAGUCUCUCAGUACCUAACCACCAUUUUUCUGUCGUUUGAACUCUUGGCAAAGUAGUCGUGGUCAUAAUUUCGGGUGGUUGUGCAGUUCACAAGACGUCACCAUUCCUCGCGUACCGCGGCUCUUUUUGUGCACUCGUUGACGGGACCGUUUAGAACUACCUUUAUUUGGUCGGUCCAUCAUAACGGUUAUAGAUUAUACACUUAAUAUGAUAACGGUGAUCUACCGCGCGGUUCUCUACCCCUGCACCACAAGUCGCUCAACUGAGUCGUCACUCCGUCGCGACACAUGUCCGAAGAAAGUGAGAAUGCGACCUUGAACAAGGGAAGAGAGACACUUCUUGAUGCCGAGUACAUGAGAAAAUCGCCGGAUCCCCGCAUACCCCUUGAACCUCACUAAAAACUCCUGCCGCUCACAGCCAGCGCCCUACCCCGGACCGGGUGGGAACCCAGUCGGAGCUAUUGAGACGGCGGGACAGGGUUUACGCAGAGCAUAUUACAUCCAUCCCGCGGUCCCCUAGACGCCGGGCCGGCCGCCGCCAGCGACACGACCGCCGGUUCCCUCGGUCGACGGGCCAAGAGCCCCCGCAUUGAUGGCGCCGCGCUACACCUUCCCCCGGAGCGGUCGGGGGAACGCGGCUUACCACGCCGCCCCACGCCUAGGCUCCUUCCCGCACAAAACCUAGUGCAUAUUCAUCAAUCUACGCAAACUGAAUCAUGAGCUUUUUUGUUUGAAUAGCCUUUAAUUUAACGAGUUGUAGUUUUCUUUUUGGAUACUUUUGGGUAUAUUUUAGCAUGAAGGGAGUAUGGGUAAGCGAACUCUAAUGAUAGGGCGUAUUUGGUAACAAAUCGCCAAUACCCUCCUAGGGCCUAACAGAUUCCGCAGUCGGUUGAGAAACUCGGUCAAUCGACGCAAUAGGCAGUAUCACAAUAACUUACUGUACACCUAACAACAAUAACAACGGACUAAAUGUCAGAAAUCACAUUGUGAUGUGUGUGUUAUAGGUACUUACCUUCGUUAUUAUUAAAUUUAAUACCAUACAUAUUCAUUUUAAAUAUCUACAUAGUUUUAUUUCUUUAUUUGGCACAAAGAUGCUCUGUUUUAUUAUUUUAAAAACAACAUUUACAUUUCAUAAUAUUGCACAAAUCUAAAUUAUACGUAACUAAAAUUAAGACCAUCGGUGGGCCGCCAAAAAUGUCUAAGCCAUUCGAUUGACCAGACUACUGACCAGACUACUGUUAAAAUUACGGAGCAGCUUCGGUAUAAAGCUAUAUAAAGACACUGAGUAAAUAUUGAACUAAGAAAUAUGCAUUCACUACAGUAAAUAAAAUGAUUAUUAUUAGGCAACGCAGAACUGAAUAAGAUUUUUGUUUUGAUACAAAAAACGAAAUCUCAUUUAAAUGUUAGAACAUAGUAGGACAUAAUAAUAUGUAGUUUUAGGACCAUUACCAACAAAAUUUCAUUAUAUUGAACCAUUAGGCAAGACAUUGGUGUUUUUCCUUAAAAACCAAAAGUUGAUAUGAAUAUCCACAUACCUCAAAAAACUAAAUGGGGAAUUAAAAGUGAUGAUAAAAUGGACCACAAGCUUCAACUGUAUCAGCAUCAGAAGAAAAAAUGUUGACGUCAUUUUUACACAUUUGAUAGAUAUGGUGAUUAGUAAGAUUAGCAAUCAAAUUAUUUCAUUUAUCAAAUCAUAUUUGCCAAACAAAAUAAUAAAGAAUCUGUCUUCUUGGCAAACAUUCAUAGUCAUAAGCCCUCUGCGGUGUGUUUUAAUUUGUCAUGCAGGGAUCAAUGAUAUUGCACUAUACGCCUUCAAAAUACUUUCGCACAAUAUCUCAGUAUCUCUUUCGACCUACGAAUAAUAAAACUAUAGAAAAGUAAUUACGCUUCAAAAAUGGUAGUAUUGAUUUUAAGUUUAAUUUUCAUUUUUUCAUCUCAUGUACUAAUUUAUAAACUGCAUUUAUUUUCAUUGCAGUAAUAAAGUCAUUUAAUAAAAAAAACGAGAAAAUAUUUCAUGAUUUCAUUACUACUGCAUAACAUUAUCGUCAUAAAGGUGCACCGGGUGGCGCUUGCAAACCGUGUUCUUGGCGCGACUAAUCGCGUGCAAGCGUUUGCUUAUGAAAAAGUGUGAGUGUUCGUUGUAUUUGAUUUUAUUUGUAGGCGUAAAUGGAAUCAUAAUCUAAAGUGCCAUUGAAGGCGAGUUACUGUUCCAUAGUUUUAUUAUUCGUAGCUUUCGUCACUUCAUCCAAUCAUUUUAGAUCUCUGUGUACAGGGCAAAUUUUUUGAUGUUUCAUUUAUUCGCUUAAUUUUUUCCAUUCAAAUUGUUAUACUUAGCCUUAUUAACUGCAUUUAUAAUAAAAUAGUUUAAUAAAAUACUGUCAUUUUACUAUUCACGCGAAUAGCAAAUAGACAGCUCAAACAAAAAAAAUAUUUCAGAGUAGUCUCAACUCUUACUCUUAGAGUAGGUUCAAUCUGUCAGAUUGAUUUCUGAUCAGUACCUAUAUCAGUCACAAUAUGAGGCACUUGUGGGUAAAUCAAAGAUUCAUCUGUUUCAACAUUUCAAUAGAGUUCAAUUCAAUUUUCUAUACUCAAUUAACAGUAGAGUCAGUAGAUUUUAAAAUUAAGAUUGAGUAAUGUUAAUUUGAUAAAAUUAAAUAGUGAAAUUAAAAGUAAUGUAGUUGUAGACAUUUAUUCCCCAUCUUAUAAACAUUUGUGUUACACAAAUUAAUCUGGGAUGACCUGAGAAAAUAAACUUUUACUUGGUACUUUCACUUAUCUAAUUGUGUUAUGUAAAAAAUCAAACACCCUGAGUUUACUUGUCUCUAACUUUGAUAAGAUCAUUUAAGUCUAAUGCUACACAUAUUUCCUUGGAGUCUGUGCGUGGAUUGCGAUCCAGUAUUUCGGUUAUGGGGUAAUAAUUGUCACGGUUGUCAACAUUCCACCCAGAAUAC